rnacentral:rRNA from 1 species
GACGAACGCUGGCGGCGUGCUUAACACAUGCAAGUCGAACGGAAAGGCCCUGCUUUUGUGGGGUGCUCGAGUGGCGAACGGGUGAGUAACACGUGAGUAACCUGCCCUUGACUUUGGGAUAACUUCAGGAAACUGGGGCUAAUACCGGAUAGGAGCUCCUGCUGCAUGGUGGGGGUUGGAAAGUUUCGGCGGUUGGGGAUGGACUCGCGGCUUAUCAGCUUGUUGGUGGGGUAGUGGCUUACCAAGGCUUUGACGGGUAGCCGGCCUGAGAGGGUGACCGGCCACAUUGGGACUGAGAGACGGCCCAGACGCCUACGGGAGGCAGCGGUGGGGAAUAUUGCACAAUGGGCGGAAGCCGGAUGCAGCAACGCCGCGUGCGGGAUGACGGCCUUCGGGUUGUAAACCGCUUUCGCCUGUGACGAAGCGUGAGUGACGGUAAUGGGUAAAGAAGCACCGGCUAACUACGU